UGCUUUUCUAUCAUCGUGUUAAACUUGCCAAUAGCGCGCCAGGUGGAUAAGCCAGUUUGUGAUUGGUCGCUGCAAAAUUGUAACGGAAGUAGGAUAGAUAAGGCAGCUCGGGUUUGGUUUACCCAGUCUAGCACAAGCUUCUUCUA